rnacentral:rRNA from 1 species
UACGUAGGUCCCGAGCGUUAUCCGGAUUUAUUGGGCGUAAGGCGAGCGCAGGCGGUUGGAUAAGUCUGAAGUUAAAGGCUGUGGCUUAACCAUAGUAUGCUUUGGAAACUGUUCAACUUGAGUGCAGAAGGGGAGAGUGGAAUUCCAUGUGUAGCGGUGGAAUGCGUAGAUAUACGGAGGAACACCGGUGGCGAAAGCGGCUCUCUGGUCUGUAACUGACGCUGAGGCUCGAAAGCGUGGGUAGCGAACAGG